rnacentral:misc_RNA from 1 species
CGAGAGAAAGAAAUGUAACCAAGA